rnacentral:rRNA from 1 species
UACAGAGGGUGCAAGCGUUGCUCGGAAUCAUUGGGCGUAAAGGGCAAGUAGGUGGUCUCAUUUGUCUAGGGUGAAAUCCUUGAGCUUAACUCAAGAAGUGCCCUAGAAACGGUGAGACUCGAGUUCUGGAGAGGGUCGUGGAAUUCCCGGUGUAGCGGUGAAAUGCGUAGAGAUCGGGAGGAACACCAGAGGCGAAGGCGGCGACCUGGACAGACACUGACACUCAACUGCGAAAGCAUGGGGAGCAAAAGGG